rnacentral:rRNA from 1 species
UAGGAUUCCCUCAGUAGCUGCGAGCGAACAGGGAGAAGCCCAGCACCGAAUCCCGCGGCCUACUUUGGACGCCGGGAAAUGUGGUGUUAGGGAGGGUCCGUUUAUCCCGAGGUCGUGCGGCGCGUCCAAGUCCCUCUUGAACGGGGCCACAGCCCAUAGAGGGUGCCAGGCCCGUAGCGACCGCUGCCGAUCGCGGGAGGAUCUCUCCUCAGAGUCGGGUUGCUUGAGAGUGCAGCCCUAAGUGGGUGGUAAACUCCAUCUAAGGCUAAAUAUAACCACGAGACCGAUAGCGAACAAGUACCGUGAGGGAAAGUUGAAAAGCACUUUGAAGAGAGAGUUCAAGAGUACGUGAAACCGUUCAGGGGUAAACCUGAGAAACCCGAAAGGUCGAAAGGGGAAAUUCAUUCGCGUUUCGGCCGCCGGCGACGGGUGAUCGCGUGACGGACGUUUUCGCCCGCGCCUUUCGCUCGUCGAACCGGCGUCGAACGCGUGCACUUUUCCCCUAGUAGGACGUCGCGAUCCGUUGGGUGUCGGUCUACGGCUCGCGGUGGAGUCCGGGUGCUUUUUCGGCGCUCGGACCCGCGGUGUCCCGGCCGACUCGCUCGACGGUAUACAGAUGGCGCGAGGCCGCUACUUCAGUUAGCGUCCGACGCGUGGCAAGCGCGCUCGACGCGUCGGUGAUCGGACCUGGUGCCGGUCCUGGCCUCGAGCGACUGUUGGCCGCGCAGUUCUCGGACAGACCUCGUUGUGAAACGCCGAUCUGCGACGCUAUAGCUUUGGGUACUUUCAGGACCCGUCUUGAAACACGGACCAAGGAGUCUAGCAUGUGCGCGAGUCAUUGGGACAUAACUAAACCUAAAGGCGCAAUGAAAGUAAAAGUCCGCCUUUGCGCGGACCUAGGGAAGAUGGGCGGUUGGUUUUCCGACCGCCGCCCCGCAUUCCCGGGGCGUCUCGUUCUCAUCGCGAGAAGAGGCGCACCAAGAGCGUACACGCUGGGACCCGAAAGAUGGUGAACUAUGCCUGGUCAGGACGAAGUCAGGGGAAACCCUGAUGGAGGUCCGUAGCGAUUCUGACGUGCAAAUCGAUCGUCGGAACUGGGUAUAGGGGCGAAAGACUAAUCGAACCAUCUAGUAGCUGGUUCCCUCCGAAGUUUCCCUCAGGAUAGCUGGCGCUCGUUGCGUACGAGUCUCAUCCGGUAAAGCGAAUGAUUAGAGGCCUUGGGGUCGAAACGACCUCAACCUAUUCUCAAACUUUAAAUGGGUGAGAUCUCCGGCUUGCUCGAAUACGUGAAGCCGCGAGAUUCGGAUCAGAGUGCCAAGUGGGCCAUUUUUG